UGACAAAUAAAUGUAUAAAACAAUGGUUGGAAUCAGAGGACAUAAUAGUAGAAAUAACAAGUACUAAAACAGAAAAUGUUCGAGGCAAAGAAUAUAGAAAAUAUAAAACAUAUGAGGAAGAAAAUUAUACACAAUUCAAAAUAUAGGGAGCAAAAUGCUGAGCCCAAUGAUGAUAUCCCUACCACUGAUGGCACGAAUAUAAAUAUAAAUGAGGCCAACUCAGAAAAAUGAAGAUAAAACCGUAAAAACAACUAGCAAGAUCAUCAAUUUUAAGCCCAAAGCUGC